rnacentral:rRNA from 1 species
ACCCAUGUCAGUCGAGCGCCCCGCAAGGGGAUGCGCCUACGGUUGAGUAACGCGUGGUAACUACCCUGCCCUACGGAAUAGCUCCGGGAAACUGGAAUUAAUACCGUAUACGCCCUACGGGGGAAAGAUUUAUCGGGGUAUGAUGAGCCCGCCUUGCAUUAGCUAGUUGGUGGAGUAAAGGCCUACCUAGGCAACUAUCCAUAUAAGGUCUGACAGGAUGAUCAACCACAUUGGGACUGAAACACGGCCCAAACUCCUACGGGAGGGAGCCAUGGGGAAUAUUGCACAAUGGGCGCAAGCCGGAUCCUAUCAUGCCGCGUGAGUGAUGAAGGUCUUAGGAUUGUAAAGCUCUUUCACCGGUGAAGAUAAUGACGGUAACCGGAAAAGAAGCCCCGGCUAACUUCGUGCCAACCUCCGCGGUAAUACCAAUGCGCCUAGAGUUGUUCGGAAUUACUGGUGGGACAGCGCACGUAGGCAGAUAUUUAAUUCAGGGGUGAAAUCCCUUAACUGAACUCUGGAACUGCCUUUGAUACUGGUUAUCUUGAAUAUGGAAUACGUGAGUGUAAUUCGGAGUGUGCAGUUGAUACUGGUAAAUUAUCGUAUGAACACCGAUGGCGAAAGUCCCUCAGUGGUCCAUUACUGACGCUGAAGUGCGAAAGCGUGCGGAGCAAACAGGAUUAGAUAGCCUGGUAGUUCACGCCGAAGACCAUGAAUGUGAGCCGUCGGGCAGUAUACUGUUUCGGUGGCGCCCCUGACGCAUUAAACAUUCCCCUCUGCGUAGUACCGUCUCAAGAUUAAAACUCAAAGGAAUUGACGGAAGCCCGCACC